rnacentral:rRNA from 1 species
CGCUGGCGGCGUGCCUAAUACAUGCAAGUCGAACGCUUCACUUCGGUGAAGAGUGGCGAACGGGUGAGUAAUACAUAAGUAACCUGGCAUCUACAGGGGGAUAACUGAUGGAAACGUCAGCUAAGACCGCAUAGGUGUAGAGAUCGCAUGAACUCUAUAUGAAAAGUGCUACGGGACUGGUAGAUGAUGGACUUAUGGCGCAUUAGCUUGUUGGUAGGGUAACGGCCUACCAAGGCGACGAUGCGUAGCCGACCUGAGAGGGUGACCGGCCACACUGGGACUGAGACACGGCCCAGACUCCUACGGGAGGCAGCAGUAGGGAAUUUUCGGCAAUGGGGGAAACCCUGACCGAGCAACGCCGCGUGAAGGAAGAAGUAAUUCGUUAUGUAAACUUCUGUCAUAGAGGAAGAACGGUGGAUAUAGGGAAUGAUAUCCAAGUGACGGUACUCUAUAAGAAAGCCACGGCUAACUACGUGCCAGCAGCCGCGGUAAUACGUAGGUGGCGAGCGUUAUCCGGAAUUAUUGGGCGUAAAGAGGGAGCAGGCGGCACUAAGGGUCUGUGGUGAAAGAUCGAAGCUUAACUUCGGUAAGCCAUGGAAACCGUAGAGCUAGAGUGUGUGAGAGGAUCGUGGAAUUCCAUGUGUAGCGGUGAAAUGCGUAGAUAUAUGGAGGAACACCAGUGGCGAAGGCGACGAUCUGGCGCAUAACUGACGCUCAGUCCCGAAAGCGUGGGGAGCAAAUAGGAUUAGAUACCCUAGUAGUCCACGCCGUAAACGAUGAGUACUAAGUGUUGGGUGUCAAAGCUCAGUGCUGCAGUUAACGCAAUAAGUACUCCGCCUGAGUAGUACGUUCGCAAGAAUGAAACUCAAAGGAAUUGA